rnacentral:rRNA from 1 species
UACGUAGGUGGCAAGCGUUGUCUGGAUUUAUUGGGUUUAAAGGGUGCGUAGGCGGCUUUGUAAGUCAGUGGUGAAAUAUGGCAGCUCAACUGUCAGAUUGCCAAUGAUACUGCAGAGCUUGAGUACAGAUGAGGUAGGCGGAAUUGACGGUGUAGCGGUGAAAUGCUUAGAUAUCGUCAAGAACACCUAUAGCGAAGGCAACUUACUAGGCUGUAACUGACGCUGAGGCACGAAAGUGUGGGGAUCAAACAGG